rnacentral:misc_RNA from 1 species
GAUGAAGAACGUAGCGAAAUGCGAUAAGUAACGUGAAUUGCAGAAUUCAGUGAAUCAUCGAAUCUUUGAACGCACAUUGCGCCCGCCAGUAUUCUGGCGGGCAUGCCUGUUCGAGCGUCAUUACAACCCUCAAGCCCCCCGGCUUGGUGUUGGGGACCGGCCACCGGUGCCCUGCUGCUUCCGCGGCAGGCGCGCCCGGCCGCCCCCGAAAUGAAUUGGCGGCCCCGUCGCGGCCUCCCUCUGCGUAGUAGCACACAUCUCGCAGCUGGAGCGCGGCGCGGCCACUGCCGUAAAACGCACCAACUUUUUUUUACAGUUGACCUCGAAUCAGGUAGGAAUACCCGCUGAACUUAAGCAUAUCAAUAAGCGGAGGA